GACGAACGCUGGCGGCGUGCUUAACACAUGCAAGUCGAACGAUGAACCGGAGUUUGCUCUGGGGAUUAGUGGCGAACGGGUGAGUAACACGUGGGCAACCUGCCCCAGACACCGGGAUAACCAUUCGAAAGGAUGGCUAAUACCGGAUACGACCACUUCGGGCAUCCGAUGGUGGUGGAAAGGAUUCUGGUCUGGGAUGGGCCCGCGGCCUAUCAGCUUGUUGGUGGGGUAAUGGCCUACCAAGGCGACGACGGGUAGCCGGCCUGAGAGGGGGACCGGCCACACUGGGAAUGAGACACGGCCCAGACUCCUACGGGAGGCAGAAGUGGGGAAUAUUGCGCAAUGGGCGAAAGCCUGACGCAGCGACGCCGCGUGAGGGACGAAGGUCUUCGGAUUGUAAACCUCUUUCAGCAGGGAUGAAGCGAAAGUGACAGUACCUGCAGAAGAAGCACCGGCUAACUACGUGCCAGCAGCCGCAGUAA
rnacentral:rRNA from 1 species